AUAGAUAAAGGGAUAGUUGACGGACUUAAAAUCCGUCGCCUUGAAAAGGGCGUACCGGUUCGAUUCCGGUUCUGGGCACCA
rnacentral:tRNA from 1 species